AAAGCAGCUCCAUCCAGCUGAGGACUCAAUCGUCCAGCUGACUGAUCGAAGUGGGACAGAUCGCUGCUCGCUCGCCUACAAAUACACAAGAUGACCAUCGCUGUCUUUAUCAUCUUCAUGGCCACUCUUGCCCUUGUUGAUGGUUUAACUGCUGAAGAGUGUGACAGACACUUAGAUCAGUUCAAGAGAUUUCUUUGCAAGCAUGUCUUGCAGCGUGCCUUUCCUCGCCCAAACGAGUUGGCUGCCUGGACAACGUACCUAGAUGACUAUGGCCUCUGCUACGACAAAAGUAGAACUCCUCAGUCCUUCAUGACGAGCCAAAGCUUACGUGAUGCGAAUUUCUGUGCUGAAUGUACAGGGAAUCCAUGUUACAGUGAGUCAACCGUGACACAUUACGUUGUCACAGUCAACUUCGACAACAACCACUGCGAUGCUACAAAUGUAAGAGAGGUCCGCAAAACGGUGGGUGUGAUUUGUGGGCAACCUACGACAACCACAUGGCGUCCUUUCCAUUUAGGAAAACCCAAGCACAAGUAAGCCAACCUGGACUGGUCCACACUGUCCUUAUUAUAAGAGUUAAAACGUUUUUAGAGGGGUUAGAAGACAUUGGAGUCCAGAUCCAAACCUCUGUCAAGCUUAGCUUAAUUAGGCAUUUGUUGCUUACAUGACAACAUGUUAUGUUGUUCUUCUGCUGCAUUAUAACACCUGUUACUUAUUGACCUCGGUCAUUAUAAUUUAUGGCUACAUGGGAUUAACAUGUAGAUUCUCGGCUAUUUUCAAUUUAAUCAGAAACUGUACACACACCUGUUUGUUGAAAGUUUAUCGUCAUCUUACCUCAAAGUAAAUUGGUUGAUUCUCUAAAGUAAACUGUUGGUUAUCAUCUUUUGUGACGUGUCAAUUCAGAUAAUUGUCAGUCUGUGAAAACCUGUCAAACUAGACUAAGCAUUAUUUGACCAAAAAAGGUCACAUAUCAAAGGAUCUACCAAGCACCAUAAAAAGUGUCCUUUCUAAGAGUUUAAUAUUCCCCACAACUGUGUGUACUUUCUCUAUUACUGAAAAAUUGUGUGAAGCUGUAUUCAAAUCCUGUUUGUGUUGUUUAAAUAUUGUCAAAUAAAUGGCUUGAAGCUGCAUCAAUCAA